UACGUAGGGUGCGAGCGUUAAUCGGAAUUACUGGGCGUAAAGCGUGCGCAGGCGGCGCGUUAAGACAGGUGUGAAAGCCCCGAGCUUAACUUGGGAAUUGCGCUUGUGACUGGCGAGCUGGAGUGUGGCAGAGGGAGGUGGAAUUCCACGUGAGCAGUGAAAUGCGUAGAGAUGUGGAGGAACACCGAUGGCGAAGGCAGCCUCCUGGGCCAGCACUGACGCUCGAUGCACGAAAGCGUGGGGAGCAAACAGG
rnacentral:rRNA from 1 species